AAUUAAUCUUCCCAUGUAGCUUAUAGAAUUUAUUUACUUAAUUAAUUGAGGAGCUCAACACUUUUAGCAAAAGGAAAAAUUAGGAAGCAAAAAGUCAGUGAUAAUCUAGAAUAUUUUAAAGGAAUUAUCAAAGACUACGGGGAAAAUCACAACAAUUGAUGAAUAGAAGUAGAGAUAGUACUAAGUUCAAAACUCAGAUCUCUGGCUCUGUGUCUUGGACGCCUGGUGACUGAAAGGAAAGGAUGAGUGUUAGAGGGCUGAUGUACAAAGGAAACACACCAUUCAGAUACAGAUUGAAUAUAUAGGUUUACAGAGCUUGAUGACUAAAAGAUGGCACAUAAUAGCGAGACUGAGCUGAAGAUGUUUGCAUUGCCUGGACUGUGUGAAAGAUGUUACGGAGAAAGGCUUAAAGUUUUGCCUGUGGUGUCUUAGAAAUGUUGGCAGACACCAUGAUAAAAUAACAGAAACAGAGUAAUCACUAGGAUGGCAGAGGAAAAAAAAUACAGAUUUGAGAGGGGCUAAGGCUAGCAGUGAAUAGCUACUAUCCUUCCCCAGUUGGGUUUUGGUUACACACGGUCUUUCAGGGCACCUGUUUGAGUGCUUAACCACCCUCCCUGUGAUCAAAUGCGAGCCUCUACAGAGCUGUGUUAGAUGCUGGAGAAGGGUACAAUUGUUUAGGUCUAAAAGGAUUCUGUUUGGAGGCUUUCUUUGGCUUUGCAAAAAUGCACAACCAAAUUCAAUAAAGACGCUGUUGAUUUUGGUGAAAGCAGAGUUAGUCUUACGCUUUGUGGUUUUGAAAAUUCUGCCCAUUGAUGACAAUUGAAACUACUCUGAAUAUUAACUGUGAUGGAAAAAAUGCAUAGGUACUAAUAUCUGAGACUGGGAGUUACAACUUAUAACUCCGUAAUGAGAUGUACUUCUGUAGGUGCCAGACCUGCUUGGUUUUCUCACCUCUGUGCUGCACACCCAAGAGUGACACCCUGCCUCGGGCAAGGCAGAGAUACUUUCUUGUCAAAGAGUGUCUCAGGGAGCCACAAAACAAUGAAUCAAUGGAUUGAACGUCACAAGCACGCCACGAGCAUUCAAAGUGUGUAGCAGGUUUCCAGCUGACCAGCAACCGAAGGCUGGUAAGUAUGUAGUAGAAGCAGUACAUUUCAGGUCCUAGGGAGAGACAUGCGCUUCACUAAGUUACAGAUUAACUGCUGGGGUGCACUACAGCUUCUUUUAGGUUUGCCUAUUCAGACUUCUCUACUGAUGUGUCAGUGAUAUAGAUGUGGUUGUGUUUUGAGGUCAAACUUUAGCCUAACUGGUGCUCAGAUGCAACUAAGAUGUGUACCUGGUGUCAGGAAAUGGGAAGUUUUCUCUGUUUCUUAAUCUGGAGGUAACUUCAAGGGUGUAUUUCAUUUCCAAGUAGUGUCAUUCUUCUGACUUUGCUGCAGCCCAUGUAACUCACAAUUUCUCCUGCAUUUUUGUUGAAAUAGCAGCCUUCUCUCUGGUCAGCCAUUAAGCUAACACUGGGAUGUGGUCACUGAAGGUUCACUGCAUCCUAAAAGGAGAUCUGUGUCUGAUGCAAAGAAGAGACAAAGAACAAAGAGUUCAAACAUGGCUCUAGUCUGAAGACACCAUGGAAGAAUUCCACCUUCUAUCGGAACAUCAUCACUUGGAUUUAUGACCAGAGCAGAAGAAUAUUUUGAUGUUGUUGCUUGUAUUCUAAGUGUAUUCGGAGUGAAUGAACUAAAAGAGAUCUACAUAUUUCAGAGAGCAUCCUGUUACUACAAAAACUGUUCACCAAAACAUCAGCUGGAAAUGCUUUUCUUCUGUAUGAUCAAUCCUGUGAGUUAUGUAUAACUGGCUUCAGAGAGGAGAGGAUGGAUGAGACAGUGGAACAGCUGCAAUCUCUUUGUUUGCUGUGUGAACACUUUUUUCCUUGAGCUUCUUGGAAUUGGUAUUUCAAGCAGAAUGAGAUACUGUCACCUGGAUCAGCAUCAGCUCUCUGCUCACGUGUAAUUCAUACCAGUAGAGAAAGCAGAAAUUUUGUCUUGAGAAAGUCACAGAAACAAGAAUCACCCAGGGUAUUUGUAUCCCAAUAUCUACAGCUUCCACUAUCUCUCCUUUCUCUAUCCUUUCCUAUGAAGCCCCUUCAGAAUGAGUGAUGUGUGGAAAUGCUAAUUUGCUCAUCUUUUGUUUCUCUGCUUCCUGCUGUAUUGCAGGGGUCAAUGUAUUUGAUUAAUACAGUUACUAGUCUUUUGCAAAUCAGAAUCAUUAAGGUUGGAGAAGACUACUAAGAUCAUCUAGUUCACCCAUCAAACAUCUGUCAUAAUCUUCCUGACUUCAAGAGGUGAAAUGAAGUUGAAUCUGGUGAAAGUGUUUAGACAGUGUCGGGUUCAUGAGGUUCUUCAGAUUUGGAAAAUCUGCAUCUGUUUCUUAACUCUAGCAUUUCAGGUACAUUUUCUGGGCACUGAACCUCUGGACCCACAUCCAGGAGAAGGGAUCUUGUAGUCCAGCUGCCCCAACUCAUUUAUGAAAGUAGUUUUGUUCCAGUAGCAUUUAUCUUUGUUACUUUUUUCCUACCGUGAUAUUUUAUGUCCAGCCCCGCAGAUUACCUGAUGUCAUUAAGCUACAGCCAUUGUAGCUUAAUUGUAUUGUUCCGUGGUGUUUCCAAUUUGCAAGGAGAAUUAUUCAUAUUAAUAACUCUCCACUCUUCAUGUCUUAUCUUCCUAAGUCGUGUUGGAGGGCGAUACAGUGCAAGCCCUACUGUCAAAAUGCUUCUGUAUACUUUCAGGCGUUAAGUGAUUUGCCUUUGGUGAAUUCACAUGAAUUCAAGGCUUUUAGGGACUGACAUAAAAUCAGCCAGAAUUCUUCAGGUUUUCUUAAUUUCCCCUCAGGUCACAUCGUCCAGUUUUGCCUCUGAUAGCAGGCCUUGACCUAAAUGCUUCUGCCUCUACUACUGCUGAGCCUUGUCUUGUUUCAGAGAGAGACAGCUUGUCCUUCUGUGUAGGGACAGAAUUUAUGCUGUUUACAGUGCAAGGGAAGGGUGGAGGUUGAGUUAAAAUAUUGCAUUACCGAUACCGCUUGAAUUCAGCAAACAUUUUUGGC
ensembl:lncRNA